ensembl:snRNA U6 U6 spliceosomal RNA
GGUUGCUUGCUUUGGCAACAACAUACUAAAAUUGGAAUAAUACAGUGAAGAUUAGCAUGGCCCUUGCAAAAGGAUGUGAAUUUUUAAAAUUAAUAUUUAAUAUUC